GUCACAAUUCUUUUCUAAGUGUGUCCAACCCCCGACCGAUCUCCUCUUCGAAUGUCCUAGUCAUCAACAUGUGACAUUACUAUCAACUGGACAAGGGACGUAAGUCCGACCCAGUCCCCCUGUCAACUGGACACUGGCGGCGCUGCCUGUUGAGGAGCGCGCCCACCAGUCUAGACAUGACAGUAACUUUGCCCAAAACCUACAUGGCUGCACUGAUGAUAUAUCAAAGGGCCAAUAUAGGGAUCUGCUCGGUGCCAUCGUGAGAAUCACGCUCUGCAGCCAGUCUACAUAAUAGAUGAGGAUGCCCAAACUCAGAAAACAGAGAAAUGUUGGUGUUGAUGUUAUCGUUUUAGUUUUCAGGGACAGGGCGGGGCUGUGACAACC